AACAGCUGAUUGACUGCACAGUGCACAUGCUGUUAGACCUUUAAUCUUUUUUAGUAUUUUGUGCGCUGUUCUGUUCAUUUUGUAAUUGCUUUUAAUCCUUAAUCAAGUAACUCAAAUAAUUAAUAUGAGUAGUGAGGAUGAACAUGUUGUUGUAAACCUGGAGCACACAAAAAAAAGAAAGAAGAAUGCAUCAGAAUGGAAGAGAAACAAGACUAAACUAAAGCGAUAUUCUGGUGAAGGUAAAAAUCCAAAUACAAACUGCAACCAUGACGGUCCUCGUAGCUAUUGCAGAAAGCAGGAUUUUGAACCAGCAGACAUCAGGGCUGUUUUUGAUGAUUUUUAUGUUGAUUCUGAUAAGCAACGUCAUGACCAAUUUCUUUCAUCUCUAAUUAUUCUGAGACCUGUAAAGCGCACAAGGGUUGCCGAAAACCAGCGAAAGAGGAACAUUUAAUACUCUAUUCAUUAUCAGAUUACCAGUGAAGACGGAUAUUAUCAUGAAGUAUGUAAUAAGACAUUUUUGGCGAUUCUCUGUGUCAGCCCCGAUAGAAUGAAGAGGAUUGCAGCACACAAGUGGACCACAAAUAAUCCACGCUCUGAAAAAAGAGGUGGAGCGCGAGUAAAACCUGGAUACGCUGAUCUCAAAGAAGAGAUUAAAGAACACAUCAGCAAGUUCCGCUGUGUUUCCUCCCAUUAUGGCAGAGGCAAGACACCUCAUAAAAAGUACCUACCGAGCCAUCUAAGUGUUAUGAAAAUGUAUAAACUAUUUUUACAGAACUAUGAAGGGCAAAUUGAUGUAAAAUACACAUACUAUUACAAUAUCUUUGUGGGUUGUUUUAACCUAGGAUUUGGGAAUCCCACCAAAUUGAAGGCAUCAAUAAAAGUAACCAACGAUGAAGAACAAAAGAAAGAUCUUGUCACAGAGCUACUUGUUCAUAAGAUGCGAGCAAGAAAGUUUUACAGUUUGCUUAAGGAAGAACAUGAUGACUCUGUUCUCACUAUCUGGCCUGAUGCAAAAUCAAGCGUUGCCAAAAUCGCCCAUUGGCGAAGCGUAUUAUGCCUGUCAGCUUUGUCUAUACCUUUUAGGCGUCGUCAUUCACCUUCCUGGUGAACAGAAGAGGGAUGACGUCUAUUUUUAUACGUGGGGAGAACACCAGCAAGGUAGAGGUGCUAAUUCAGUUGCAAGUGCAAUCUCGCAUUUUUUAGGUCGUUGUCUGCAAGCACCAAACAAUAUAAAGACAAUUCGCAUUUUCAGCGACUCCUGUGUUGGUCAAAACAAGAACUUUAAUGUAUUAUCAGCAUUACACAUACUGGCAUCAAAGCACAAUGUCACAUUUAAGUAUGUAUUUCCAGUGCGAGGCUGUGAUGUUCUUGGUCGGACAACAUAUGAAUGAACAACAGACGAACGUUUAACUCAACUAAUACUACACUUUAAUCAACACUUAUGUUACAGGUUGCUUCCGGUUUGAUGGCGUGGUAAAA